rnacentral:rRNA from 1 species
GAUGAACGCUAGCUACAGGCUUAACACAUGCAAGUCGAGGGGCAGCAUGAACUUAGCUUGCUAAGUUGAUGGCGACCGGCGCACGGGUGAGUAACACGUAUCCAACCUUCCGUUUACUCAGGGAUAGCCUUUCGAAAGAAAGAUUAAUACCUGAUAGUAUGGUGAGAUUGCAUGAUAGCACCAUUAAAGAUUUAUUGGUAAACGAUGGGGAUGCGUUCCAUUAGGUAGUAGGCGGGGUAACGGCCCACCUAGCCGACGAUGGAUAGGGGUUCUGAGAGGAAGGUCCCCCACAUUGGAACUGAGACACGGUCCAAACUCCUACGGGAGGCAGCAGUGAGGAAUAUUGGUCAAUGGGCGAGAGCCUGAACCAGCCAAGUAGCGUGAAGGAUGAAGGUCCUACGGAUUGUAAACUUCUUUUAUACGGGAAUAAAGUAUCCUACGUGUAGGAUUUUGUAUGUACCGUAUGAAUAAGCAUCGGCUAACUCCGUG